GGCUCCUCCACCACCUCUAUGGCUACUGGAUUCUUUAAGGAUGAAGACAUGGGGGUUACCAAGCACAAUGGAUGAGCUAUGCACUUUCAAAAAGGGGCCAGAAAAGGGAAAAUCUGUGUGCUUCCACCUGUACGAUUAGGAACUGCUGAAACACGCGCCUCACACGUUUAAUCAUGGGAGGAGAAGCCCUCCCGGCAAGAACAAUCCAUCAUCCGACAGACGCUUGAUUGUAACAGAUGACGGAGCACAGGUAGCCUAGGAUCACCUUCAUCCUGGAAGACCCUGGAAAGUCCUAUCCUAUUUUUCAACCACCUGCACCUGUGCUGCUUCC
rnacentral:lncRNA from 1 species